rnacentral:rRNA from 1 species
GACGAACGCUGGCGGCGUGCUUAAUACAUGCAAGUCAACGACUUUUAGAGUAGCAAUAUUUUAAAGGAAGUGGCGCACGGUGAGUAACACGUAGGUAAUCUGCCUUCAGGACUGACACAACUCGUCGAAAGACGGGCUAAUAUCAGAUAAUGCAGCGGCUCCGCAUGGAGACAGUUGUUAAAGUACAAAGCGCCUGAAGAUGAGCCUGCGGUCCAUUAGCUAGUUGGUAGAGUAACAGCCUACCAAGGCAACGAUGGAUAGCUGGUCUGAGAGGAUGAUCAGCCACACUGGAACUGAGACACGGUCCAGACUCCUACGGGAGGCUGCAGUAAGGAAUAUUGCUCAAUGGCCGAAAGGCUGAAGCAGCAACGCCG